rnacentral:rRNA from 1 species
AUUGCAGGCUGCAACUCGCCUGCAUGAAGUUGGAAUUGCUAGUAAUCGCGGAUCAGCAUGCCGCGGUGAAUACGUUCCCGGGCCUUGUACACACCGCCCGUCACACCAUGGGAGCCGGUAAUACCCGAAGUCAGUAGCCUAACCGCAAGGGGGGGCGCUGCCGAAGGUAGGAUUGGCGACUGGGGUGAAGUCGUAACAAGGUAGC